rnacentral:antisense_RNA from 1 species
AUAGAAUCAUAAAUAGAUAUUUAAUCUAGUAAUGUAUAUGUACUAAAUAAUGAGUAUGCAAUAUUGGUGUACAGUCCAGCAUAACCAUAAUUAGAGUCAAAUAAAAUAAGACUUUAUGGACUAAGUCUCUUUGGAUCACGAGGAAACAUUGAAGACUUCCUGAUAUUUCCAAGAUUCAAAAAGAGCAUAAUGACUCUUUCAAGCCCAAUUCCACAUCCACCAUGGGGAGGAGCGCCGAGCUUGAAUGAGUUCAAGUAGUCUCUAAGUGAAUGUUCUGAAACACCGCACUCUUGGCACCUUUUUACUAAUAAAUCGUAAUCAUGUACUCUCUGUGCUCCACUUAAUAUUUCUUCUCCUCUCAUAAAGAAGUCAAAAGAAUUGGACCAUUUCUAAAAUGUGGGGAAAUUGGCGGUAAUUAUUUGCAUGUAAAAGCGGGAACGCCUCCCAAGCUGUCUAUAUUGCUCCUAAGAGAAGUAAAAGGGAGGAAAAGCGGGUAGAGGAAGUAUAGGAAAAUGGGGAAGAGCUAUAUUGAGGUCAGUUGGUGAUGCAUGAAAAGUUGUCAUCAAGGGUUCAAACGUAGCUGUAUCUACACGCAUGUGCAAAUACACGUUUGAGUUUACAGGCUAUGGGUGAAUGAACAAUCAUCAUCCCUCAAUAAGAAAGCAAAUCUUCAAUUUUCCCUUAAAAUCCCUAAAUCCCCUUGUUUCUUCUCUCUAUUUUAUACUUUCAAGCUUUCUAUAUUUCUUGGGAGGCAAAAUAAAAGAUUAACUUACCUCUGGUUCAUCAAAGUCAGGCAUUGUGUAAAAAGGUCUCACUUUGAGUGGAUAUUUAAGCAUCAUAUAGAAAUCUGAGUUGUAUUUUUCCUUGACAAUAGAACCUAAAUAGGAAAUUAAUGAUUUAGGUUAGUUAUAAUUAAAUAUAUUCAAAAAGGUUUAUAAUAUUAUCAAUUGAUAGAUAAUAAUAUCAUAGUAAGAUGAAAUAAGCAAAAGGAAUGAGAAAGAACUACGGAUUUGAAAUUCAAGUCCAAUAACAUUUAAAAUUAUGUCCGCUCUUCUCAAAUCCUGCCCUUUUCAAUCUUACUAGAAAAUUCUUAGUAUGGAACUUACCAAGUAAUCUUUCCUGCUCUGUGGAAAUAUCAAAAUCAGACAGAUCUUCUGGAAUUUCAGCGCCUGCCUCCUUAAGGAGAUUACAUCCUUCUUCAAAAGUAAGACGUGGAGUCUUUUCUGAAAUGACGAAAGGAGUAAAUGGAUUAUAUUCCGAGACAAUAAGUAAUUCAUUCUUGCAAUGAGUAUUGAUUCCUUGGAAUAUAUGUCUAAACAUAGCGUCGAAAACGUCAACCAACUCAUGAUAAGUAUUUUCAAUGUUCAUUUCAAUAUCAACUCCAACAAACUCACAUAAAUGUCUGUGAGUAUUUGAAUUUUCUGCUCUGAAAACAGGACCAAUUUCAAAGACUCUUUCUAAAUCUCCACAAAUUGACAUUUGUUUAUGGAGUUGAGGUGACUGUGCUAAGCAAGCUGUAUUUGAGAAGUAGUCUACUUUGAAUACAGUGGCACCACUUUCGGAAGCACCUGGUAAAAGUUUGGGAGUAUGAAUCUCAAUGAAUUCUCUUUCUAUGAGGAAUUCCCUAAGCAAUCUGCAUACUUCCGAUUGAAUUCUGAAUAUUGCCUGACUCAAAUAAGUUCUCAAGUCCAAUACUCUGUUGUCCAGUCUGACAUCUUGUAGAACUUUAAUAAUUGUGGAAUCCUCAUCCUCAGUUUCAACCCUAUUAGCAUCUUUUAAUUGGAAAGGUAAUUCACUGCAAGCCGAUGAGACACAGUAAACUCUUUCAACUAAAACCUCUAUAUCUUGUGUUGAUGAAACCACUGGAGUUUCUGGAACUACUAUAGUGCCAUAUACAUCGAUCAUACUCUCAAUUGGAAGGCAUCCAAGCCAUUUAAUCAUUUCCUUAGAACUACCAUUAUUAGCAUCAACAACUAAUUGUAGUCUAUAGAAAGUUUGUCUGAGCAGUACAAAUCCUAAAGAUCCUUUACAUCUGGACUCCGUAAUUCUACCUCUUAACCAGAUUUUCUCACCUUUCUGGUUAGAAUUCAAUUCCUUAAUCUUUGAAAAAGUCCUGUUCUCAAUUUUGCAAUUAAAAGGAAUUACUCCAUAUGGAGAUGCCUCAGUUGAAUGUACAAUAACUGAACUCCAAUGAACUGAUUGCUGUUGUUGCUGCUGAUUGCUCUUUGCCUCUGCCUUUUUAGCUUCUUUAAGUGCUUGUUUUUCUUGCUUUUUCAAUGCCUUUUUUGAAAGGACUUGUUCUUUUACCUCUG